UUCAGAGGUGUGCGCUUCCGAUCAAAAAGUGCUCAGGUUGCUGGGAGUUCAGGCACCAGCAGGGCACAGACAGACAAACCAACCAGCAGCACCACUGCCAGAAGAGCCGGGCAAAGCUCUUCCCAAUCAAGGGCCACUGCAGCACAUGGCAAUGAUCAAGGAGACACCAAGAUAAGCUACAGAGUGACAGCUAAGAACCCCUCAGUGACUAUGGAGGGAAACCUUGCUCCACAGCAACUAAAACACCUGCCGGUGCCAACCCCUGCCAGAGAAGGAGUCAAUCCAGCCGCUCUCGGGCCAAUACCACUGGCCAGGGCAAAGAAAGCAAAUUUCCCUCCCUGCUGACAAUAGAAGAUGUGGUGAAAGUGGAGAGGGAAACCUGGUGCCAGAGGGACAAUCCCAAGUGGUAUGAGAGGCAGGAAAACCGCAUCAUGGCCUCAGUCGCAGCCAGGAUCGCUAACAGCAAGUUUGUCAAUGGCAAGAGCUCAGAGGUGCCCCAGUCUUACCUCAAGGCUGUGGUGAGUUCUGGUUCCGAAGUGCAGACACCAGCCAUGUCCUGGGGCAC